UGUCACCAUUGCCUAGCAAAGAGUCCCUGCUGCUUGGUGGAGAAGGAGACCUCUGUGGAAGUGUGUUGGUUGUGGAGUCUUGCCUGUCUUCUCUAUGGUAUCCACGGGGUUGUCCCAUGAUCCUAGGAGAGGAAAAACAUAAGCCAGCCUGAAGAUACGUCAAGCACAGCCACAGGAAUAAACUGCAAAAUCCCUAAGAAUCCAAAAGGAUCUGCAGGAUUUCUCAAGCCUGCCUAGAUGUCGAUGAAAUUCCAAGACAAUGGAGGAGUGUCCCUUCAUGAUGUGGAGAACCUGCUUGGCUCGAAACUGAAUUUGAGGUGAAGUUGUGGGACCCCAUUCAACCCUCAGCAGAUACUAUCCUCACCUGUAUCUGACCUUAUUGUGUUCACACUGCAUGUCACAGGAUGAAAUCCCAAGAUGAUGGAGGAGUGCCCCUCAUGAUGUGAAGCACUUGAUCAACUGGUAACAUAAUGUGAGGGGAAGUUUCAGGACACCAUCCACCCCUCAUCAGAUUGUAUUUACACUCCUACCUCACCUUGCUGUAGCUUACACUGUAUGUCCCAGGGUGAAACCCCAAGACAAUGGAGGAGGGCCAAGUCAUGAUCUGAAGCACCAACUCAGCUGGGAACCAAAUUUGAGGUGAAGUUGUGGGACCCCAUCCACUCCUCACCGGAUUGUAUCCACAUCUUUAUCUGUCUUAUUGUUGCUCAAGCUCUAUGUCCCAAGAUGAAAUCCCAAGAUGAUGAAAGAGUGCCUUUUCACGACGUGACGCAACUGCUUGGCUGGAACUGAAUUCGUGAUAAAUUCAAGGGGCAAUGUGGACAGGAUUUCUACUGUCUCUUAGUGAAAUUGUGAGACCCAAUCCACUCUUCACCAGAUUGUAUCCUCACCCCUAACUGACCUUAUUGCAGCUCACAUUCUAUGUCCCAAGACCAAAUCCCAAGAUGAUGGAGGAGUGCACCCUCACGACCUGAAGUACCUGCUCUUCAGGGAGCUGAAUUUGAGGUGGAGUUGUGGGAACUCAUCCAUUCCUCAUCAGAUUGUAUGCUAACCCCUAUCUGACAUUAUUGCUGCUCACACUUUAUAUGCCAGAAUAAAAUUCCAAGACAGUGGAGAAAUGCCACCUCAUGAUGCGAAGCACCUGCUUGGCUGGGAACCGAUUUCGAGUUAAAUUCAAGGGAACCUGUGGACAGGACUGCCGGUGAAGUUGCAGCACCCCAUCCAUCCCUCAAGAGAUUGUAUCAUCACCCCUAUCUGACCUUAUUUCUGCUCACACUUUAUGUCCCAAGAUGAAAUCCCAAAACGAUGGAGGAGUGCCCCUUCAGGACAUGAAGCACCUGCUCAGCUGGGAACUGAAUCUGAGAUGAAGUUGUGGGACCCCAUCCACCCCUCACCAGAUUGUAUCCUCACCCCUAUCUGACCUUUUUCCUGCUGACACUCCUUGUCCCAGGAUGAAAUCUUAAAAUGAUGGAGAAGUGAGGCUUCAUGAGGUGAAACAUCUGCUCGACAGGGAACUCAAGUCGAGAUGAAGUUGCAAGACAUCUUCUACCCCUCAACAGACUGUAUCUUCACCUCUAUCUGACCUUAUUGCUGCUCACAUUAUUUGUCUCAAGAUAAAAUCCCAAAACUCUGGAGGGGUGCUGCCUCACAAGAUGCAUCACCUGCUCAGUUGGGAACCAAAUUUGAGGUGAAGUUGCAAGACCCCAUCCACCCCUCACUACAUUGUAUCCUCAUUCCUAUCUGAUCUUAUUGCUGCUCACACUCUAUAUCCCAGGAUAAAAUCCCAAGACAAUGGAGGAGUACCUCCUGAGGAUGUGAAGCACCUGCUUGACUCAGAACUGAAUUUGAGGAAGAAGAUGGAUGGAACAUAAAGUAAGCCCACUCCGUUAGAAACUAUGCUGAAAAAUUUCAAGAAACCAGCAAAACUUAGAACUUUGUGUGAGAUAGACUGGCUAGCUUCUGGCACUACAACAAAACUUGAGGGUAAAUAAACAUUUAAUUGGAAUGAAUCAUAGAAAACUGAUUAGAAGAAUACUUGAUGUUCAUGAUAAUUGUGGUGCAAGACAGUUUUAAGUAUGUUUUUAGUAUUUUUAUAGUUCAGGAAGAUAUAUUCUAGGAGCAGUUUUAGAUGACUCUUAUUUCUGUAGUAAUAUUCAAUAUAGUGUACCUGCUUUGUAGUCAGAAGAAGGCUAGAAGUUGAAUUCAGGCAUUUUCUUCCAAUAAAGCUAAUUAUGGCUCAUUCCCAUUGACAAGGUGUAGAUUUGGAUUAGCAAUUGUAAUUACAUCUGUGAUUCUUAAUUAAUGAUGUUAAUUCAGAGAUAUGUAAAGUGCAAGUGAGCUUCUCUGCUGUCACUGGCCUUCCAACAUUUUUAUCCAGUGUUGUAUUUGAAAUUUCUGCUUCUGUAAAUAAAUUUUUGAAGA
ensembl:lncRNA LINC00279 long intergenic non-protein coding RNA 279